rnacentral:rRNA from 1 species
GAGUAUUACGUGAGUAACCUGCCCUCAACUGUGGGAUAAGCCUGGGAAACUGGGUCUAAUACUGCAUAUUCUUCUUUCACCGCAUGGUGGGGGUUGGAAAGUUUUUUCGGUUGGGGAUGGGCUCGCGGCCUAUCAGCUUGUUGGUGGGGUGAUGGCCUACCAAGGCGGUGACGGGUAGCCGGCCUGAGAGGGUGGUCGGCCACAUUGGGACUGAGAUACGGCCCAGACUCCUACGGGAGGCAGCAGUGGGGGAUAUUGCACAAUGGGCGCAAGCCUGAUGCAGCGACGCCGCGUGAGGGAUGAAGGCUUUCGGGUUGUAAACCUCUUUCGGUACAGAACAAGGCACGUUUUUUGCGUGUGGAGGGUAUGUGCAGAAGAAGCGCCGGCUAACUACGUGCCAGCAGCCGCGGUAAUACGUAGGGCGCGAGCGUUGUCCGGAAUUAUUGGGCGUAAAGGGCUCGUAGGCGGCUUGUUGCGCCUGCUGUGAAAACGCGGGGCUUAACUCCGCGCGUGCAGUGGGUACGGGCAGGCUUGAGUGUGGUAGGGGUGACUGGAAUUCCAGGUGUAGCGGUGGAAUGCGCAGAUAUCUGGAGGAACACCGAUGGCGAAGGCAGGUCACUGGGCCAUUACUGACGCUGAGGAGCGAAAGCGUGGGUAGCGAACAGGAUUAGAUACCCUGGUAGUCCACGCUGUAAACGUUGGGAACUAGGUGUGGGGCCCUUUUCCGGGGUUCUGCGCCGUAGCUAACGCAUUAAGUUCCCCGCCUGGGGAGUACGGCCGCAAGGCUAAAACUCAAAGGAAUUGACGGGGGCCCGCACAAGCGGCGGAGCAUGCGGAUUAAUUCGAUGCAACGCGAAGAACCUUACCAAGGCUUGACAUACACCGGGAGCAUGCAGAGAUGUGUGUGCCUUUUUGGCUGGUGUACAGGUGGUGCAUGGUUGUCGUCAGCUCGUGUCGUGAGAUGUUGGGUUAAGUCCCGCAACGAGCGCAACCCUUGUCUCGUGUUGCCAGCGCGUUAUGGUGGGGACUCACGAGAGACUGCCGGGGUUAACUCGGAGGAAGGUGGGGAUGACGUCAAAUCAUCAUGCCCCUUAUGUCUUGGGCUUCACGCAUGCUACAAUGGCCGGUACAGUGGGUUGCGAUACUGUGAGGUGGAGCGAAUCUCUGAAAGCCGGUCUCAGUUCGGAUC